GAUGAACGCUGGCGGCGUGCCUAAUACAUGCAAGUCGAGCGAACAGACGAGGAGCUUGCUCCUCUGACGUUAGCGGCGGACGGAUGAGUAACACGUGGAUAACCUACCUAUAAGACUGGGAUAACUUCGGGAAACCGGAGCUAAUACCGGAUAAUAUAUUGAACCGCAUGGUUCAAUAGUGAAAGACGGUUUUGCUGUCACUUAUAGAUGGAUCCGCGCCGCAUUAGCUAGUUGGUAAGGUAACGGCUUACCAAGGCAACGAUGCGUAGCCGACCUGAGAGGGGGAUCGUCCACACUGGAACUGAGACACGGUCCAGACUCCUACGGGAGGCAGCAGUAGGGAAUCUUCCGCAAGGGGCGAAAGCCUGACGGAGCAACGCCGCGGGAGUGAUGAAGGUCUUCGGAUCGUAAAACUCUGUUAUUAGGGAAGAACAAAUGUGUAAGUAACUAUGCACGUCUUGACGGUACCUAAUCAGAAAGCCACGGCUAACUACGUG
rnacentral:rRNA from 1 species